AUUGAACGCUGGCGGCAGGCUUAACACAUGCAAGUCGAGCGGAGCGAGGGUGCUUGCACCUUAGCUUAGCGGCGGACGGGUGAGUAAUGCUUAGGAAUCUGCCUAUUAGUGGGGGACAACAUUCCGAAAGGGAUGCUAAUACCGCAUACGCCCUACGGGGGAAAGCAGGGGAUCUUCGGACCUUGCGCUAAUAGAUGAGCCUAAGUCGGAUUAGCUAGUUGGUGGGGUAAAGGCCUACCAAGGCGACGAUCUGUAGCGGGUCUGAGAGGAUGGACCGCCACACUGGGACUGAGACACGGCGCAGACUCCUACGGGAGGCAGCAGUGGGGAAUAUUGGACACUGGGGGGAACCCUGAUCCAGCCAUGCCGCGUGUGUGAAGAAGGCCUUAUGGUUGUAAAGCACUUUAAGCGAGGAGGAGGUUACUGAGACUAAUACUCUUGGAUAGUGGACGUUACUCGCAGAAUAAGCACCGGCUAACUCUGUGCCAGCCGCCGCCGUAA
rnacentral:rRNA from 1 species